rnacentral:misc_RNA from 1 species
AAGUCGUAACAAGGUUUCCGUAGGUGAACCUGCGGAAGGAUCAUUAUUAAUUCUUCUAGUUAAGCGGCUGUGCGCGCGUUGUUUGAUAACCGCGCGCAGCUGUUUUUCUUGUGAACUGGGGCUGCUAGUUUGAGCUUUACGCUUUUCUGGCGGCCUGUCGCUUUAAUGCUCUUGUGUUAAAUUUUUUUUGUUUUUGCUUUUUUAAGCUUAACCGCUUAAGAAAAUAAUUACAAGACAACUUUCAGCAAUGGAUCUCUUGGCUCUU